CGCCUGUUUAACAAAAACAUCGUAAAAUAGAUUUAUAUUGCCUGCUCAGUGAAUAUUUAAACAGCCGCAUUAGUGUUAAGGUAGCAUAGUAAUUAGUUUUUUAAUUGGAAAAUGGAAUGAAUGGCUCCACUAAAGCAUAGUAUUUACACUAAAAAAUGAAAUUUUAAUUUAAGUGAAAAUACUUAAAUGCUAUAUUUAGACGAGAAGACCCUAUGAAGCUGGUAGACCAUAAGUGUAAUUAUUUCAUAGUAGCAGGUCUAUUUUUUGGGGUAAAAUUUAAUAAUUAUAUUAAUAUAGAUUUGUUCAAACUUAUCCUUCUGGAAUUAUGAAUAAGCUCCUCUAGGGAUAACAGCAUUAUGCUUAAAAGAGUUCUUAUCAGAAUAAGCGUUUGUGACCUCGAUGUUGAAU
rnacentral:rRNA from 1 species